rnacentral:rRNA from 1 species
UACGUAGGGUGCAAGCGUUAAUCGGAAUUACUGGGCGUAAAGCGUGCGCAGGCGGUUAUGUAAGACAGGUGUGAAAUCCCCGGGCUUAACCUGGGAACUGCAUUUGUGGCUGCAUAGCUAGAGUACGGCAGAGGGGGAUGGAAUUCCGCGUGUAGCAGUGAAAUGCGUAGAUAUGCGGAGGAACACCGAUGGCGAAGGCAAUCCCCUGGGCCUGUACUGACGCUCAUGCACGAAAGCGUGGGGAGCAAACAGG